GACAGAGGUCCCGAGCGUUAGGCGGAAUCACUGGGCUUAAAGCGUGUGUAGGCGGAUUUGUAAGUACCUUGUGAAAUCCCACGGCUCAACCGUGGAACUGCUUGGUAUACUGCUUAUCUUGAGCCACCUAGGGGCAACCGGAACAAAUGGUGGAGCGGUGAAAUGCGUAGAUAUCAUUUGGAACGCCAAUGGUGAAAACAGCUCGCUGGGGGUGUACUGACACUGAGACACGAAAGCCAGGGGAGCGAACGGG
rnacentral:rRNA from 1 species